rnacentral:rRNA from 1 species
AUACGGAGGAUCCGAGCGUUAUCCGGAUUUAUUGGGUUUAAAGGGUGCGCAGGCGGGAGAUUAAGUCGGCGGUGAAAUUUUGCAGCCCAACUGUAAAAGUGCCUUUGAAACUGGUUUCCUUGAGUGUAGAUGAAGUAGGCGGAAUUUGUGGUGUAGCGGUGAAAUGCAUAGAUAUCACGAGGAACUCCGAUUGCGCAGGCAGCUUACUAAACUACUACUGACGCUCAGGCACGAAGGCGUGGGGAUCAAACAGGAUUAGAUACCCUGGUAGUCCACGCAGUAAACGAUGAUUACUAGCUGUUUGCGAUACAAUGUAAGCGGCUGAGCGAAAGCGUUAAGUAAUCCACCUGGGGAGUACGUUCGCAAGAAUGAAACUCAAAUGAAUUGACGGGG